rnacentral:rRNA from 1 species
CUACGGGGGGCUCCAGUGGGGAAUAUUGGACAAUGGGCGCAAGCCUGAUCCAGCAAUGCCGCGUGAGUGAAGACGGCCUUAGGGUUGUAAAACUCUUUCGCUAGGGAAGAUAAUGACUGUACCUAGUAAAGAAGUCCCGGCUAACUCCGUGCCAGCAGCCGCGGUAAUACGGAGGGGACUAGCGUUGUUCGGAAUUACUGGGCGUAAAGAGUUCGUAGGCGGGCUGACAAGUUAGAGGUGAAAUCCCAGGGCUCAACCCUGGAACUGCCUUUAAAACUGUCAGUCUAGAGACCGGAAGAGGUUAGGGGAAUACCUAGUGUAGAGGUGAAAUUCGUAGAUAUUAGGUGGAACACCAGUGGCGAAGGCGCCUAACUGGUCCGGUACUGACGCUGAGGAACGAAAGCGUGGGGAGCAAACAGGAUUAGAUACCCCUGUAGUC